GGAAGUGGUAACCUCAGCUGUGCAUUUGCUUGAUGUUAAAAAAAGUCUGUGAAAGUUUGUGCAAACAAGUGUGAAGCUGAUGUUGUGGACUUCCUACUCACAAGUCGGUAACAAGAAAGUCAUACUUCUCAUUUCUGAGCAGCUGCAGACAUCUCUACAUGAUUUAUGUCUCACAUUUGUUCAUGUGUGUGCCUUUCCUGUACCUGUUCAUGCACACCAAGCAUGUCUGUAGCAUUCAUUAGCCAAGUGAAUGGAGAUUAGCCAGCAAGCUAGUGGCUUUAGUUCAUUGCUGCUGAUGUGGAAACCAUGAAGAUUUAACAGACACUACAGUGAGCUAACAAUACAUUCAAUCAUGACUGUGAGUUCACUGCAGCAAGCUGGAGACUUGGCCUGUCAGCCAUGUGCCUCACCUGCACCUCAGACUGUUUAAAGCUGCAGACACCAUUGAAGCUGGAACACCUACCUGCCACCUUCUUUUUCUCCUGAGGCCUAGAGACCCUGCAGAUUGGAUUCAAACUCUGGAAUAAGGAACAAGGAAAGUGGAUGAAGUUGGACGCUAGGAUAACAGUCUACCAAUUCCACCACUGAGUUUACCCGUCGUUGACGUGAUGGAGGGUGACAAGGGCGACCAUAAGGACUACACCUGGUAAUGAAGGAGUCGUGCUCUGUAAAGUCAUGCAUGAGCCUGUCUGAACUGGAACAGCACCCAGAGGGGACGAGAAUGAAACCAGCUCCUGAGGGGCUCCUGAUAGAUACUAGCAUCCCUAGAAGGGUCUGAGGCGGGAGGAUAUUGAUUCAUCACACAAAAACUGAACAUGUGUUAGUCUCUCUUCUACUGUGGUGUUGGAAUUCAAUAAAAAGGAGCCUUUCAUUAUAACGUUUUUUGAUGUUUAAUGCAUGUAAUUGACAAAAUGGACAAAAGCAAAGUGUAUAGAGUUCAAAGCAAUAUGCAGCAAAUUUUAUUUAGUGCAGAAAACACAGUACAGGGAGUGUUCUUGUGCAUUCUCACCUUAGCCACCUUGCUCUGAAAGUCCAACAACACAUCAUAGAUUGAAAUGUCAAAAAUACACUGAAUAGAGGGAAUUUAUAGCCUAAAACAUACAAAUAUGGAUUUCACAUGCCGUCACGUCAGGAACACAACAAAACGAACCACAAGAACGCAGGUAUCCACAUAAAUAGUAGGAACGGAAUCAAAUAAAAACAGCAAUAAAAGAAGCUUCAAUCGUCAUGGUGGAAGAAGUAGAAGAAGUAGAAGAAGAAGAAGAAGAAGUGAUGGUUGGUGUCGGGUUGUGGGAUGGGGCCCUGUUGAGCUUCCUGAUUGGCAGAUGCCUCCCUGAAUGAACGGUGGUCAGUGAUUGGCCACGUUAUGAAGGGGAAACCCACACCUUAAACGCCACAUUGUGAGCGUACAAUCAUUCCCCGCAUCUUGAACCCCACUUUGCAUGCUUUUUUUUUUUGUUUGUUUUUAUUUUUAACAGCAUGUUCAAUACAGCAGGAUGCUCUGGAUUUAUUCUCCUUCUGGGCUGCUUCACUGUUGUUUCACGGCACUACAGACGACGUAACAGAAGGGAUGCACAAGAAUAGAUUAUCUAAAUAUACAUGUUUUUUGUUCUCUAAAGUAUGGCUUUGAUGUCAUUUCUAGGCUGUAAAGCUGUGCCCAAAUAUCCGCUGUUGGCAUACCGCACCAAUUACUUUUCGCUACCAAGUACGUUGUAUUCUCGUCAAGCAUAAUAAGAAGUGGAUGGAGAUAAACAUAUACAGGCAGGGGGGGAUAUUAAGUUAGCAAGCAUGGAUUUAGAGGAACAUUGUACAGACGAUCUGGUAUGUACAAAGGAAACCCUGGCCGCUGUUGUCUGCCUUGACGUCAGGGCGGUUUUAAGGAAGGAUGUGGGGACUUCACUUAAGCCAUAUUGGACAAAACUAUACGCAGAUUUUCUCCAUUCAUGAUCACAGCAGUGAGACCGGCUUUUUAUCCCAUUCAUACCACGCUGUGUUCGCCGAAAACCAUCUUUUGUUUGCCUUCAGGGGGAAUGAAACGAGGUCAGGCUAACAAAGCAAAGCGGGAAACACACUAUCAACGAAGAAAGAAACAGAAACUGAGUCUACUGUCCUUGUUCGCUGUGAUGUGGUGAUGUUUACUACAAUGAGAGGCCUGGAAUGAGCUCAAACUAUGUCACUUAUUGGGGGAAGAAAGAAAAAAAACCCUGUAGUAAUGAUGUGAUAUGAUGAUUCGCACAACAUGCUGAGACGCCUUUCAGAUCUUGAACAUGCUGAUGUAGCAGCAGCUAACAACUGUGACUGUUAGCAAAGUGCAUCCACAUAAAUGGCUUAUUGACCGUUAAGUAGCUGCUGAAGAGAAGGAAGAGGUGGGCCAUUGGAUCAGUACUUUAAAGAUGUUGUGAUAUAGCAAAGAAAAAGUUAAAUCCCUGCUGAGCAGAAGUAAAAAAGUGGCACACAGAGAUCCAAACUUUAUAAAAGAAUCGACAACAUGCUAGUUUAUUCUUGGGAAUUCAAUCAGUUUAUCUUUAUUGGUUGAAUUUGUAUCAAACUCCUCUCUCCCCUUUAACUGAAGUAGGUCAGAGUGGCAUUGAGGAAUAAGGCGUUUCAUCUUUUGCCCUCUAAACAAGAUGAAAAAAGAAACAUGUUGUUGGAUGUCAUCGGAAACAUCACAGCGGUCUGUCAGAAUCAAAGCUUUCAGGUUCAGGGUCACCUUUAUCUAACAGGCCUCAAAUCCACAAGGCUUAUCGCAAGUCACAUUUCACAUUGAAACGACCGGCUUGCCAUUAUGUUCUUUGAGUUGUGUCUGUUGCCAGGCAACAUUAACCUUCUUUAGAUUCUGACAGGUAGCUAUUUCCAGCCUCCAGACACAAGACUCUGUUUUCAAUUACAUGGAUCUGAACAGGUCCAAACAGCAAUCUUAGAUCUUCCCUCAUAAUAUGAAGAGCAGUUUAUCCUCAUUGAUGUUACACAAUGGAGCAACUGCUUUCUUUAAUGUUUUCACAGUGUCUGAUUGUGAUACUGUUACAGAUUAACCAGGGGCCUCAUGUACAAAGACUUGAGUGGAUUUCCUACUGAAACAUGAAGUACGCUCAAAUCCAGAACAUACCAUACGCACAAAAAUAUCCAGAUGUAUGAAUCUGUGCGCAAAGAUCAACAGCUGGAGAAACGUGCGUAUGCCAGCCAUGAAGUUGGCGUUAGGCACCGCACAUUUCCACGGUCAUUUCACUCUUGAUACAUCUGAACUUUGCCGUGAAAAAGAGCGUACGCCUCGUUUUUGUGUGUACAUGAGGCCCCUGGUCUUGGUUGGUCCAUCCAUUUUUAAAAGUCCUGAAAACUUUGAAUCUAAUGCUUAAAAAACUCAAUACUUCUUUGUGAAAUCAUGUGUUUAUGAUUAAAUGAAGCAAACAACCAAAAACAGGUAUUUUUCACAGAGAAUAGAAACCUCAAAAACCCGGCUAACCAGCUUUCUCAGGACUGUUUGUUUGCUGUCGGAUUAGCUUUGACUCGUAACGACCAAAAAACCACCAGAUGUCAUCAAAUCCAUGGUCAAAUAUUCCUAAAUACUUAAAGGUGUAGUGCACUGAGCUCUACAAAGUUCACAACAAUCAAUGAGAUGAAAAAAAUGUCUCCCUUUUGGACUUGCUAGCUAGAACUAUGACUAGCUAGUUACGCUGCUAGCAUGUUUUAUGCUGGUUGGCUGCCUUCGGUGGUGGAUUCUUCUAUCUGUGUUCUGUCCAAAUUUCAGCAAGCCUUUUGAAAGCUUACGUACACAGAGCAAAUUAUACUAUCCAAAAUUGUGGAAGCAGUGUCUAGCAGUGUAGCUAACAGUUCAAGCCAGACUAGCACAACACAACAAAGAAGAAAACUUCGGAAAAUGUUGUAACUUUUCGAGGACAGAUUGCUCCAGUUUGUUAGAAACUAUAAAUAAAUAAAGUUACAAUGCUAGCUCUGAUUUCACCUCUUCUUAACGCGUACACAACCAACCUCCUCCACUGUUGCCACAAUUGUUGUCAGAAACUUUUGUUCAUCUGAUGUAACUUUUGACACUAAGUGGCGCCCUCUGGUGGAUGAAUUGUGUAACGUCCAUCCCGAGCCUUAGGUGACUGAAUAUCCAGGUAUGAAAGAGGGAGGUACAUAGAGUAAGUCGAACCCACACCUAUCUACACUGGAUACACCCACGCACAUUAGAGGUGAAUACUAGCUCUGCCUUUACUUGAGGUGUCAAGUGAAAACGCCUGCAGAGUCAAAUCCAGAUCACUUUGUAUCACCACAUGUCUGUCUGGUUAAUUGAAACACAUGUCAAAUUCAGCUACAGGAGAGAAAGGCAGUUUGAUAUCAAACUCAGGUGAUGUCAUCAACAGAUCACCUCCACACUGUGAAGGAAGGAGGAAACAGUCGGACUGAGACAGAAAAGAGCGAGCAGGCAGGAUGGUGGGUGGCAAGGCGGCUGGCUUGUGCUGGUUGCGCUUUUUUGCAGCAGCUUUCUGUCCUCGAAAUAGAAAAGAGGUUACAUUCCAAUAAUAAUUCUAGUAAUUAGUGAGAGUAUUAUUAAAGCAAUGGAGAGUACGUCUGGCUUUAUAGAAGCAGUUCAGUGUGCUACAUACAUCGAGUAGGGAGGGGGGGGAGAGGGGAAUGGAUGAAGCAGAAGUGUGUGUGCAUUUUUGUGUGUCAAUUGUCCCAAAAUAUGUACAAUUUGAGUAUAUUGUAGGCAUUCAUUUGUUCAGUGUGCAUCUUCUGUGGUAUCUUUUUCUCCUCUCUUUCUUUCCGUCUCCAUCCAACAGCUGCAGUGUCUCUCUGUCUAUCCGUCCGUCUGAUCUAAAGGUGACAGGGCUCAGGUUCACGGCUGGCAUCUGCUCAGAAUCAUUAUCAAGUGUUUAUUUAAGGCUGCGGAGGUUUGAGUUACCUACUGGGGCACCGCGCAACCCAACACCAAGCGCAAUUGAGAGCUCUCAGCCACGGUCAGACGCUGUGUAAAUGUCGUAAAUGCGACUCAAGGCGGAGAAGGAAUAUGAUGCCGGUUGUAUUGACAAGCAUAUACGUCAGUCUCUGAAGUGACUUUAAAGUCCGGGGUUUGACUGCCGGAGUUCAAACUAUUUUUAGGCGUGUAAAGAUAGUAGAAAGGUGCUGAGGCCAUGAGAUGAGGCGUGACAACAAUGUGCAGUGUUCAGUUUCAGUUUUGUUCUGUUGUCUGUUCAUAUGCUUUUGUGUUAUUCAAGAGCGACUCCUCGUGCUAGUUUUUAUGAAGCCUUUGCCUGAUUCAAAGAAAGGAAUAACACUAUUCAAGCUGUCAUUAAUAGUUUUAAUUCCCUUAAGAAUGAAACAAUCAUUACUCUCAGUUAUACAUGUCUUUGUUGUGAUGGAGAAAGCUCAAUUAUGUCAUAUAACGCAACUGAGCAAACUCAAAUCGAAGACAAUUACUUGGAUUUUCCCCCAAAAUGCAUCACAUUAGCUUACUAGUUGAAAAUAUGAUCAAAAGUAGAGGAGUAAGUAACAGCAAAUCACAUUGGAACACAUUUACAGGCUUUUCAUAAGCUAGAGACGACCAAGAGUCACCCAGAGCUAACCCAUACGGUAGCCAAGUUGUUUAGCUAGCUAGCUAACGCCAAAAAAAACAAGUGACGACCAUUUCAAUAGCAAAAAUGUAGGGUUAAAAACUUGGAAUGAGAAGCCUGAAUAAGUCUGGAGCUAGCUAAGAAAAGAAAUACCACUUAUCUACCCAUAAAAUGGUGUAGCAUUAGCCUAAUGGUUGAAAAUCUCAUCAACAUAGAGGCCAACAAGGUUAUGUAACAAUGAAAUACAUACUACAUGAAUUUCUUCAGAUUACUUUAAUGCUAAAUGGUGUAUUUGUGGCCUGUAGGUGAAUAUUUAACAUCUUAACACCUUAGCUUUCAUUAGCUAGGAAGGACAAAGGACCAGCCAGAGGUAACUUGCAAGCUAGCAAGUGAUUUAGCUAGCUAGCUAACACUGAACAAUUAAAGCGUCCUUUUUUGAGUGAGAGCUGAGCUAGAGUUUAAACCUAGCAUACAACAAACAUUUGAAUGUGGGAGAAAUUUUGUUCUUAAAAAAAUGGUGUCUGCACACAUUAGCCUUGACAAUUUAAUGAAGAAUAGGACCAAAUGUAGUUAUGUCACAUCAAAAUAGAAAAACACAUCCGUAUACUUGCUAAACAAAUUACCAUCUAGAGGUGAUUGUAAGCUAGCAAUGUUAUUAAGCUAGUAAGCUAACGUUAAAAUCAAGUGACAGCCAAUCUAAAGGUGGAGGGUCACUUGCUUGGAAUGAGAAGCCUGCCUUAGUCUAAAUUUAGACAACACUAGUGACCCUUCCCCCCCCAAAUAUUUAGAGUAUGUCAAAGGGAGCUAGCAUAGCAACAUCCGCCUAACAAGGGGUCAGUACUUAACGAGCAGUCGACACUCAGGGGCCCCAGAUGACUCCACCAAGGUCACACUGGCACACAAAAGAGUCAGUUUACAAUCAAGAUGUGAGAAAGACAAUGUUAUCUGGCUUUACCUGGCUUGUCCUCCCCGCUGUGGUUAUCUUAAUCAAAUUAAAAGAACCAGUAAGAAUUAUUUAUCACCACGCUUUGUCAUUGGACUAUCAGUGACAGAGGCUGCGCGGUGUUUUAUGUAGGUAUGAAUGUUUGAAUGAUUUUCCACCAGGCUGUCCAGCCCUCAUUGAUAUUAAACAGCAUCAGAUAUCACAGAGUGACCGCGAGGAGAUGCAGACGCUGUAGACACAUAAACACCUGAUGAUCGCUAAUGUGUCAAUCACUGGCUGUAAUGGUUCGGAGCAGUGUUAACGGCUCAUGCGAGCAUGCAGUGUGUCUGCUUUCCAUCACAUAUUGAUCCCGCCUGCAGCAAAUUGCCUCUGACCGUUGCGAGUUAGCAGCCAGUUUCCAUGACCACCACCUCCGUCACCUGUGAGAUCAGGCUGGCAGAGGCGAUCCAAUAUCUGGCCUACAUGGGAGGCAAUACGGAGGUGAUUUUACACCUGAGACUGUUACUUGGUGUUAUAUUCAACCUUGCAGAGAGACAGAGAGACAGAAUGAAAGAAAUCUUGUGAUGCUGAAGGAGGCGGAAAGAAAAGAACCCAGAAACUAGAGAGUGUGCUUCUCUUCUUUUUUUUGUGCGUUCUUGUUUCAUCUGCGUUGAAGGACGUGUGCUUGUUCUGUCAGUCAGCAGAGAGAAGCUGUGUUUUAAGCACAACUUCUGUCUGCGUGUGUGCUGGGCUUUGUGUUGCAUCUGCGGGAGUAGCAAGGACAUAGGAUGGGAUGCAUGUUCCGAGGGGAUCGAGGGACACACGGGUGAUAUGACGGGAUAUUUGCGAAGGUUAAUUUUGGUAACGGGAGGUUACAGUAUUUCGUCAUGCUAGAAUAUAAAUUCCAAAUCUCCACCUUUGUCUUUCUUUUUCCUCUUUCUUGCCCCUUCCAACUUCCUCAUCCUUGAUAUCAGUCGAUCUUUCAUGCAAAAAGGCGU